rnacentral:rRNA from 1 species
UACGAAGGGGGCUAGCGUUGUUCGGAAUUACUGGGCGUAAAGCGCACGUAGGCGGAUUUGUAAGUCAGGGGUGAAAUCCCGGGGCUCAACCUCGGAACUGCCUUUGAUACUGCAAGUCUCGAGUCCGAUAGAGGUGAGUGGAAUUCCUAGUGUAGAGGUGAAAUUCGUAGAUAUUAGGAAGAACACCAGUGGCGAAGGCGGCUCACUGGAUCGGUACUGACGCUGAGGUGCGAAAGCGUGGGGAGCAAACGGG